CACAUAUAUAUGGAAUCUAAAAAAAAAAAAAAGGGCCUGAAGAACCUAGGGGCAGGACAGGAGUAAAGACACAGAUGUAGAGAAUGGACUUGAGGACACGGAGAGGGGGAAGGGUAAGCUGGGAUGAAGUGAGAGAGUGGCAUGGACAUAUAUAUACACUACCAAACGUAAGGUAGAUAGCUAGUGGGAAGCAGCCGCAUGGCACAGGGAUAUUGGCUCGGUGCUUUGUGACAGCCUGGAGAGGUGGGAUAGGGAGGGUGGGAGGGAGGGAGACGCAAGAGGGAAGACAUAUGGGAACAUAUGUUUAUGUAUGACUGAUUCACUUUGUUAUAAAGCAGAAACUAACACACCAUUGUAAAGCAAUUAUACCCCAAUAAAGAUGUUAAAAAAAAAAAAAAAGAU